UACGUAGGGUGCGAGCGUUAAUCGGAAUUACUGGGCGUAAAGCGUGCGCAGGCGGUUCGUUAAGUCAGCUGUGAAAUCCCCGGGCUUAACCUGGGAACUGCGUUUGAAACUGGAAGGCUUGAGUGUGGCAGAGGGGGGUGGAAUUCCACGUGUAGCAGUGAAAUGCGUAGAGAUGCGGAGGAACACCGAUGGCGAAGGCAGCCCCCUGGGCUGACACUGACGCUCAGGCACGAAAGCGUGGGGAGCAAACAGG
rnacentral:rRNA from 1 species